AUAUCAAUAAGCGGAGGAAAAGAAACUAACCAGGAUUCCCCUAGUAACGGCGAGUGAAGCGGGAAGAGCUCAAAUUUGAAAUCACACUGGGCCACCAGUGCGAAUUGUAGUUUCGAGAAACGUUUUCUGAGGCAAGCCGGGCAAAAGUCCUUUGGAACGAGGCGUCAUAGAGGGUGACAACCCCGUCUUCGGUCCGGUCUUUGUUUCUUUGUGAUACGUUUUCCAAGAGUCGGGUUGUUUGGGAUUGCAGCCCAAAAUGGGUGGUAAAUACCAUCUAAAGCUAAAUACAAGCGAGAGACCGAUAGCGCACAAGUA
rnacentral:rRNA from 1 species